AGUGAACGCUGGCGGUAGGCCUAGCACAUGCAAGUCGAACGGCAGCACAGUAAGAACUUGCUCUUACGGGUGGCGAGUGGCGGACGGGUGAGGAAUACAUCGGAAUCUACUUUUUCGUGGGGGAUAACGUAGGGAAACUUACGCUAAUACCGCAUACGACCUACGGGUGAAAGCAGGGGAUCUUCGGACCUUGCGCGAUUGAAUGAGCCGAUGUCGGAUUAGCUAGUUGGCGGGGUAAAGGCCCACCAAGGCGACGAUCCGUAGCUGGUCUGAGAGGAUGAUUAGCCACACUGGAACUGAGACACGGUCCAGACUCCUACGGGAGGCAGCAGUGGGGAAUAUUGGACAAUGGGCGCAAGCCUGAUCCAGCCAUACCGCGUGGGUGAAGAAGGCCUUCGGGUUGGAAAGCCCUUUUGUUGGGAAAGAAAAGCAGCAGGUUAAUACCCCGCUGUUCUGACGGUACCCAAAGAAUAAGCACCGGCUAACUUCGUG
rnacentral:rRNA from 1 species